AGUUCGUUGCUUCUGUUGGUGUGAUGUUCUUCCCAAGUUCCUCGCGUCUCCACUCUCCCAGUGAUUGGUUCCCUGGAAGCCUCACUUUCACUACUUGGUCUGGACAAAGGAAUCGUGUCUGCCAUUCGGCAACAAAACAGGAGGAGGCAUUCUUUUCUUCAGUUGCUAUCCCCAGGUAACACUGGAACAACUCACAGCAAAGGAAAAAGAGCACUGGUGAUGGAGGAGGCACAGAAGGCAGAGAGGAAGAGAGACAGAAACGAGCAUCGGGACAGGACUGGCCGUGGCUAGUCGGUUAGCAUGUGACUACAGCGAGAGGGCAGGAUCACAGUGUACAUACAUGUUUACUUCAAGAUACAAGUUUUGAUGUAAUGAGUUUUGUUUGUUGUAAGCACCUUGUCGUCUGAGAAUUUAUUAUAGACCUGA